ACAGGGAUUGCCUCAGUAACGGCGAGUGAAGCGGCAACAGCUCAAAUUUGAAAUCUGGCCGCAAGGUCCGAGUUGUAAUUUGUAGAGGAUGCUUUUGGCGAGGUGACUUCCGAGUUCCCUGGAACGGGACGCCAUAGAGGGUGAGAGCCCCGUACGGUCGUGCCACCGAGCCUCUGUAAAGCUCCUUCGACGAGUCGAGUAGUUUGGGAAUGCUGCUCUAAAUGGGAGGUGUACGUCUUCUAAAGCUAAAUACCGGCCAGAGACCGAUAGCGCACAAGUAGAGUGAUCGAAAGAUGAAAAGCACUUUGAAAAGAGGGUUAAAAAGUACGUGAAAUUGUUGAAAGGGAAGCAUUCAUGACCAGACUUGGGCUUGGUUGAACAUCCGGCGUUCUCGCCGGUGCACUCUGCCAGCUCAGGCCAGCAUCAGUUUGCCCCGGGGGAUAAAGGCGGCGGGAAUGUGGCUCCCUACGGGGAGUGUUAUAGCCCGUCGUGUAAUGCCCUGGGGUGGACUGAGGUUCGCGCUUCGGCACGGAUGCUGGCGUAAUGGUCAUCAAUGACCCGUCUUGAAACACGGACCAAGGAGUCGUCUUCGUAUGCGAGUGUUCGGGUGUCAAACCCCUACGCGUAAUGAAAGUGAACGUAGGUGAGAGCUUCGGCGCAUCACCGACCGAUCCUGAUGUUCUCGGAUGGAUUUGAGUAAGAGCAUACGGGGCCGGACCCGAAAGAAGGUGAACUAUGCCUGUAUAGGGUGAAGCCAGAGGAAACUCUGGUGGAGGCUCGCAGCGGUUCUGACGUGCAAAUCGAUCGUCAAAUAUGGGCAUGGGGGCGAAAGACUAAUCGAACCU
rnacentral:rRNA from 1 species